rnacentral:rRNA from 1 species
CCUACGGGAGGCAGCAGUGGGGAAUAUUGCACAAUGGGGGAAACCCUGAUGCAGCGACGCCGCGUGAGUGAAGAAGUAUUUCGGUAUGUAAAGGUCUAUCAGCAGGGAAGAAAAUGACGGUACCUGACUAAGAAGCCCCGGCUAACUACGUGCCAGCAGCCGCGGUAAUACGUAGGGGGCAAGCGUUAUCCGGAUUUAAUGGGUGUAAAGGGAGCGUAGACGGCGGAACAAGUCAGAAGUGAAAACCCGGGGCUCAACCCUGGGAGAGCUUUUGAGACUGUUUGGCUGGAGUAAUGGAGGGGGAA